UACGUAGGCAGCGAGCGUUGUUCGGAGUUACUGGGCGUAAAGGGUGUGUAGGCGGUUUUCUAAGUUUGGUGUGAAAUCUCCCGGCUUAACCGGGAGGGUGCGCCGAAAACUGGGAGACUAGAGUGCGGGAUGGGAGAGUAGAAUUCCUGGUGUAGCGGUGAAAUGCGUAGAUAUCAGAAGGAACACCAAUAGCGAAGGCAGCUCGCUGGGACGGUACUGACGCUAAGGCGCGAAAGCGUGGGGAGCGAACAGG
rnacentral:rRNA from 1 species